CAGUAGCCGCGGUAAAACAGAGGAUGCAAGCGUUAUCCGGAAUGAUUGGGCGUAAAGCGUCCGUAGGUGGCUUUUCAAGUCCGCCGUCAAAUCCCAGGGCUCAAUCCUGGACAGGCGGUGGAAACUACCAAGCUGGAGUACGGUAGGGGCAGAGGGAAUUUCCAGUGGAGCGGUGAAAUGCGUUGAGAUCGGAGAGAACACCAACGGCGAAAGCACUCUGCUGGGCCGACACUGACACUGAGAGACGAAAGCUAGGGGAGCAAAUGGGAUUAGAUACCCCUGUAGUCCCUGUCUCUUAUAC
rnacentral:rRNA from 1 species